CCUACGGGGGGCAGCAGUGAGGAAUAUUGGUCAAUGGACGCAAGCCUGAACCAGCCAUGCCGCGUGCGGGAAGACGGCCCUAUGAGUUGUAAACCUCUUUUGUCGGGGAGCAAAGCGAGUCACGUGUGACGCAUUGAGAGUACCCGAAGAAAAAGCAUCGGCUAACUCCGUGCCAGCAGCCGCGGUAAUACGGAGGAUGCGAGCGUUAUCCGGAUUUAUUGGGUUUAAAGGGUGCGCAGGCGGAGGAGCAAGUCAGCGGUCAAAUUGAGGGGCUCAACCCCGUAGUGCCGUUGAAACUGCAUCCCUUGAGUGCGCGAGAAGUAUGCGGAAUGCGUGGUGUAGCGGUGAAAUGCAUAGAUAUCACGCAGAACUCCGAUUGCGAAGGCAGCAUACCGGCGCGCAACUGACGCUCAUGCACGAAAGCGUGGGUAUCGAACAGGAUUAGAUACCCGAGUAGUC
rnacentral:rRNA from 1 species